UGAACGCUAGCGGCAGGCCUAAUACAUGCAAGUCGAGGGGUAAGGCUCAUUUCGGUGAGUACACGACCGGCGCACGGGUGCGUAACGCGUAUGCAACCUACCCUUAACAGAGGGAUAGCCCCGAGAAAUCGGGAUUAAUACCUCAUAACACUUUGAUAUGGCAUCAUAUUACAGUUAAAACUCCGGUGGUUAAGGAUGGGCAUGCGUGACAUUAGCUAGUUGGUAAGGUAACGGCUUACCAAGGCUACGAUGUCUAGGGGUUCUGAGAGGAUGAUCCCCCACACUGGUACUGAGACACGGACCAGACUCCUACGGGAGGCAGCAGUAAGGAAUAUUGGUCAAUGGACGCAAGUCUGAACCAGCCAUGCCGCGUGCAGGAAGACGGCCUUAUGGGUUGUAAACUGCUUUUAUAAAGGAAUAAUAUCCCGUACGUGUAUGGGAUUGAAGGUACUUUAAGAAUAAGCACCGGCUAACUCC
rnacentral:rRNA from 1 species